rnacentral:lncRNA from 9 species
CCCAUAUCUUGAUUGUAUUAGCCUGUAUAUUAUACACUACAAUAUAUAGGUAGUUGCACACACAUCUUCUUACCAGUAGUAGAUUAUGAGAUCAAAUGGUUUGGCUGAGAGAUCUAUCAUUUAAUAUUUGCAUUCUUUACAAAGACUGUCGCAUUCUCUUGCCAAGGCAUCAAUUACACUGGCUACUGCUCUUUAAAACCAUGAACACCUUGGCCGUGGACUUCUUAAUUUGGGAAUACGAGUUAAAUAAGUAUGAGAAGGAGGAACAACUGAUAGGGUUUGCUUUGUUUGCCGACAUUAGGUCUAAGCAUUAAGAGACUAUGUGGUGCUCUGAGCAUUACCACACAGUGACAGAGAGAUGUGUCUCAUCAAUUAGAGCAUCUGCUACUACAUCACAUAGAAAACAAAUGCCUUCUACGUGGGGACAUAUGUAUGCGAAAGGUUACAUGUUUUAUGUUUAAUUUAUUUGUUUAAAUGAAUGCACUGUUUACAUAUAUUAACUUCAACAAUAGUAAGUGUAUAUUUUGAUGUACACUUUCGGUACAUCGAGUUUUGUUAAUUUGGACAACUUAACCACUUUCACAGUCAGGAAGAUAGCACAGUUCCCUCAUCCUACAAAGUUUCCUUCUGCUCCUGCGCACUUGGUCCCCCUUUUGCAUUCUUGACCCAACUGAGGACCUGUCUUCUCACUAUACAGUUUUGCCUUUUCUAGAAUUUCAUGCCGAUGUAAUUACAUGUAGCCUUUUAUGGCUGCCUCAUUCACUUAGCAUCAUGUUUGUGAAAUUCGACCAAGUUUUUACAUAUGUUAAUAUAGUACUAUUUUCAUUUUGGAAUAGCAUUUCAUGUUAUGGAUAUAUCCCAGUUUGUUUAUUGCCAGUUGAUGGAUCAUUUGGGUUGUUUCCAAAUUCUCGUUGUAACGAAUAAUGAUGCUUUGACUAUUCACAUACAUGUUUUUGUGAAGACAUAUGCUUUCCUUUCUCUUGGAUAAAUACCCAGAAGAAGAAUUUCUGAGUCAUAUGGAAAUUUCAUACUUAGCUUACCUGAUUGAUCUGAGUAGGACUUCCAGUGUAUGGUGAAUAAGAGUGGUGAAAGUGGUCAUACUUUUCUUCUUCCAGAUGUUAGAGGAAAAGAUUUCAAAC